UACGUAGGGUCCGAGCGUUGUCCGGAUUUAUUGGGCGUAAAGAGCUCGUAGGCGGUUCCGUAAGUCAGAUGUGAAAACUCAGGGCUCAACCCGGAGACGCCAUCUGAUACUGCGGUGACUUGAGUCUGGUAGGGGAACACGGAAUUCCUGGUGUAGCGGUGAAAUGCGCAGAUAUCGGGAGGAACAUCAGUGGCGAAGGCGGCUACCUGGCCCAAUACUGACACUCAGGUGCGACAGCGUGGGGAGCAAACAGG
rnacentral:rRNA from 1 species